UACGGGGGGAGCAAGCGUUGUUCGGAUUUAUUGGGCGUAAAGAGCUCGUAGGCGGUUUGGUAAGUCUGGUGUGAAAUCUCCACGCUCAACGUGGAGGGGCCACCCGAUACUGCCAUGACUGGAGUCCGGUAGAGGAGUGUGGAAUUCCUGGUGUAGCGGUGAAAUGCGCAGAUAUCAGGAGGAACACCGGUGGCGAAGGCGGGUCUCUGGGCAGUAACUGACGCUGAGGAGCGAAAGCGUGGGGAGCGAACAGG
rnacentral:rRNA from 1 species